CCGCCUCCUUGGCCGUGACCAUAUCGCCGCUCCGUGCCCGCCUCUUUGGCAGCGACCUCAUCGCCGCCGCUCUCCCGUGAUCCCUCAUCUAACUCUCGGCCAUCUCCGAUGCCGCCGCUCUCCCGUGAUCUGUCAUCUCCCCCGCGGGAUCCCCAUCGCCACCCCGACAACUCUGCCGCCGCCGCGACAUCUCUCUCUCUCUCAUAGGUAUUUUGAUCGUUGGUGGAGAUCACAGGCUCAAGGUGUAAAUUUUCCCUUCAUUUUCGCUUAAAUUAUUAUGUUGCGUGUGAAGUGUUCGUGUUAAUGUCUGUGAGAGGUUUUCCAUAUCAAACAUGUUGUCGUGGCUGUACAAAUUUGUUAAUUGAACACUCUAUAUUUCCAGGGAGGCACAUUUACUAUAAUUCUAGGUGCCGUUGGAGCAGAGUGGUUGAAGGCAUUCAAGGGCUACAUUUUGCAUUGAUCUUUCGUCUUUCAGGACAAGAUGAUCAAGAUUAACAAACCGGAUCAGGCUGGUGAGGCUCAGCCAGCAGCAAAAUCAUCUUGCUGCGGCAACUCUUAGAAGGAUAAGUUCGAUGUUGGUAUGAGAAACACUAAUUUGCUUGUUAUAGGUAGUGGUGUAAUGAAAGAUAUGACGAUAAAAGCUUUCGGGUGUUUGUAUUUUACAUCUUAUCAUUCUUUUCAACUA